UCUUUCUCUUUCCUCUCUUCUUUCUUCUUUUGCUCUUCUAUUUCUCUGUUCUUCUUAUUACGUGAGUUCGUGAGAUUUAAUGGAGUGAAUUAGUUUAUUAAUCCGUGUGAUUGAUGAAGAUUGAACGACUGGUGGUGGUGAUUGACGUUUACUGAUUUUGGGAAAAGAAAGGGUUGAUGCUGUUAUAAUCAGAAUUAGGGUUUGUAGAGUUGAUUGGUGUUCUGAGGAUUUAGAAGAUGAAAUAUAGAGGUAUGGAGAGUUGAAGAAUCAUGGGUUUAGGUUCAAUUGAAGUUCUGAAAUUGUCUUAGAGAUGAACUGAGAAUUAGGGCUUCUGAAUCUGGGUUGAGAUUCGAUUAAAGAUUAAUUAGAAGAUGAAAUCGAUAUCUGGAAGGUUGAUUUGAUAUGGGUUUAUGUCUAAUUGAGUUAUGAAGUUGAUGCAGUGAAGAAUCGAGGGGUUAGGGUUUCUGCAUGUUAUGUUGAAAUUCAAUUUGAGUAAGAAUUAAGUAGAUAUAGACGGAAUUACAAGAUGGGUUUGCUUAAUUGAAGAGUUGAUUGAUGCUUUGAGUUUGAAUUAGAGAUUGAAGACAGUUAGGGUUCAUGACUUCUUCCCCAAAUUGAAAUUAGGAUUUGAGUAAAAUUGAUUUGGUAAAUUGACAAUUCAGAAGAUGAUAAAGCUUGGUAAGUCUCCAACUGCUCUAAUUUCAGUAUUUUGAAUUCAGUGGAUUAAGGUAUUUGGUUCAUUUGAUUUAGAAUAGAACCUGGACUGAGAUAAGUGUAGAAUGGAGUUGUAGUUGUAGUGAUUCUUAAUUUUCAGAUGUGGAUAAUUAAGGCAGUUCAUGUUGAUGUUGUAGCUGCUGUGGUAUGUGGUGUGUUGAACUACAGGGAACAUGGAGUGGAUGUUAUUGUUGAGUUUGUUUUAAUUGAAGUUCUUUUGAAUGGUCCUUUGUGGAGCUGAGGAAGUAAUCUGGUGUUGGGGGAAAGCGGUGAACUGAGUAUGAAUUGUAAGUAUCUCUGAUGUAAGAUUUGAGUUCUGUAUUGUGUUAAUUAAAUAGAAUUAGAAUGAGUGGGUGAUUGUAGGUAUUCCAGAUGGACAAUGUUAUCUCAGUUGAAGUUUAUUUGUAUGAAGUGGGUUUAUUGUGAAGGUGGUUGCCUAUAUAAGUGGUUGGAGUUUAUAGAAUGAAAAUGAUGAGAAUGGUGUUACUGAAUUUAUAGAUUGUGCAGGCAGGAUCUUAAAUGAGGGUGUUGGAUUAAGCUGCAGUUGUAGGCGUUGGUCUUGAAUUGGUGGAUGGGAGGUAAAGAAUUAGAGGAAUGAAAUGUAAUUGAAGUAGAAAGUAUCGUAUUACUGUGACUGGUGUCGUUGUCUGUGUUUUGAGGUUAAGUCAGUGAUGAACUAAACAAGAAUUCUAAGUGAGGGUUGUUCUAAUUUACAGGAACUUGUAUUGAAUUCCGUGGAUGGAUGUAUCUGAGUUGAGAAUUGGCUGAGCUGUAAUGGUUAGAGUAUGGAGUUUGAAGUUGAACUGUGGGGUUCAGGUCUAAGUGGUGGUGACUCAUGUUUGAUGGGUGUGUGGAGUUGAAUAUCUCUUGUAGGAGCUUAAAGCUGCAACGCAGUUAGUCUAUAUUAACAACGAUCGCUUCAAAGGAUGAAUCAGUGGAUCGUGGAUUUCGAGGUAGGCGUGGAUGGUCAUCAAAAGAGGUGGGAAUACUUUUAACUCUUUUGAAAUCAUUGUUGUUUCUUUUGAGAAAGUUUAUGUUUUACAUACUCAUGCUUUAUCUGUUUGUGCAUUCCAUGCGUUGUUCAGCUUGUAUUAUGAUUGUUCUGUUGGUUCCUUGUAAUCUUUCCAUGGUUUGGAAAGGACUUGUAAUAUUUUGUUAUCGUCAUGAAUUGUUAUGGAAAUAAGAAUUUCCACCUGCGGUAUAUAGGAUACGCUCCUUCACAUUUAUACCUAGAGCUUUUAUGAUAUAUUGGUCGGAAGUUUGCGAGUUAGGAAUUGUCGACAUCAAUACUUACGAUUAGGUGUGGAUUUGCGAGUUCGGAAUUGCACAAACAUAGUAUACAUUGUUUGAGGAAGGAGUUUGUCCAUAUACAUGUUUGAGUAUUACCAGUGACUUAGUCACUUUGUUGUUUGGGAAAAUAUGUAUUGUUUUCCAAAUCUUGCUCUUGAUUUCUUAAAAGUUGAAUGUUAUUCCUGCUGGGCACCUCUUCUAGGGAUGAUAUGCUCACCCAUUCCCACUUUCAGUUUCAUAGACAGAUCAGAAUUGCGCAGCGAAAGAUCCGAGAAGUUGACUACGUUAGUUGGUUAUAUUCUGAUAUGUUUAUUAUGUUGUAUAUUCUAUUUGUAAACCAAAUGACUAUUGUAUAUGUAGCAUUUGAGAGGAGUUCUUGUAUAUACAUUUCUGAGCGGGGUUAGUUUUGAGUUAAGUUUUUUUGUAGCAGAUUUCUUAAUUAAAAGUUUAAAUAUUUGAUUGA